GACGAACCGUGCGAACGUUGUUCGGAAUAACUGGGCAUAAAGGGCGCGUAGGCGGGCCCGAAAGUCAGGGGUGAAAUCCCACGGCUCAACCGUGGAAGCGCCUUUGAUACUGCGGGCCUGGAGGGAGGCAGGGGAGUGCGGAACUUCCGGUGGAGCGGUGAAAUGCGUAGAUAUCGGAAGGAACACCGGUGGCGAAAGCGGCGCUCUGGACCUCUACUGACGCUGAGGCGCGAAAGCGUGGGGAGCAAACAGG
rnacentral:rRNA from 1 species